UACGUAGGGUGCGAGCGUUAAUCGGAAUUACUGGGCGUAAAGCGUGCACAGGCGGUUCGGUGUGUCUGAUGUGAAAGCCCCGGGCUUAACCUGGGAAUGGCAUUGGAAACUGGCGACCUAGAGUGCGGUAGAGGGUAGUGGAAUUCCCGGUGUAGCAGUGAAAUGCGUAGAGAUCGGGAGGAACAUCCGUGGCGAAGGCGGGUCUCUGGACAGUUCCUGACACUGAGGCACGAAGGCCAGGGGAGCAAACGGG
rnacentral:rRNA from 1 species